rnacentral:rRNA from 1 species
GAUGAACGCUGGCGGCGUGCCUAAUACAUGCAAGUCGAGCGAACGGACGAGAAGCUUUCUUCUCUGAUGUUAGCGGCGGACGGGUGAGUAACACGUGGAUAACCUACCUAUAAGACUGGGAUAACUUCGGGAAACCGUAGCUAAUACCGGAUAAUAUUUUGAACCGCAUGGUUCAAAAGUGAAAGACGGUCUUGCUGUCACUUAUAGAUGGAUCCGCGCUGCAUUAGCUAGUUGGUAAGGUAACGGCUUACCAAGGCAACGAUGCAUAGCCGACCUGAGAGGGUGAUCGGCCACACUGGAACUGAGACACGGUCCAGACUCCUACGGGAGGCAGCAGUAGGGAAUCUUCCGCAAUGGGCGAAAGCCUGACGGAGCAACGCCGCGUGAGUGAUGAAGGUCUUCGGAUCGUAAAACUCUGUUAUUAGGGAAGAACAUAUGUGUAAGUAACUGUGCACAUCUUGACGGUACCUAAUCAGAAAGCCCCGGCUAACUACGUG